ACUCUGCAUUAUAUACACACACACACACACAUAUAUAUAUAUAUAUAUAUAUAUAUAUAUAUAAUGCAGUAUGUGUGUUUGUGUGAAUGCAGAGU